UACAGAGGGUGCGAGCGUUGUCCGGAAUCACUGGGCGUAAAGGGCGCGUAGGUGGCGGCAUAAGGCCGUGGUGAAAGUCUGGGGCUCAACCCCAGAUCGGCCGCGGCGACUGUGUCGCUUGGGCACCGUAGAGGCAGAUGGAAUUCCGGGUGUAGCGGUGGAAUGCGUAGAGAUCCGGAAGAACACCAGAGGCGAAGGCGGCCUGCUGGGCUGCACCUGACGCUGAGCCGCGAAAGCCAGGGGAGCGAACGGG
rnacentral:rRNA from 1 species